CAGCAGCCGCGGUAAUACGUAGGGGGCAAGCGUUAUCCGGAUUUAUUGGGCGUAAAGAGCGCGUAGGCGGUCUGUUAAGCGAGAUGUGAAAACCGGGGGCUCAACCCGCGGCCUGCAUCUCGAACUGGCAGACUUGAGUCUGGUAGAGGAAAGUGGAAUUCCUGGUGUAGCGGUGAAAUGCGCAGAUAUCAGGAGGAACACCAGUGGCGAAGGCGGCUUUCUGGGCCACGACUGACGCUGAGGCGCGAAAGCUAGGGGAGCGAACAGGAUUAGAUACCCUGGUAGUCCUAGCCGUAAACGAUGGGCACUAGGUGUGGGGGUCAUCGACUCCCUCCGUGCCGAAGCUAACGCAUUAAGUGCCCCGCCUGGGGAGUACGGCCGCAAGGCUAAAACUCAAAGGAAUUGACGGGGGCCCGCACAAGCAGCGGAGCAUGUGGCUUAAUUCGACGCAACGCGAAGAACCUUACCAGGGCUUGACAUGCAGGGAAAAACGGCGGAAACGUCGUGUCCGUAAGGGCCCUGCACAGGAGGUGCAUGGCC
rnacentral:rRNA from 1 species